GAAGUACCUCACCUAAGGUCACUCCGUCAGAGAAGGCUAAAGCGAGGACUCAAGCCUAGACUUGUUUGCAGAUGCCUGGCUCUAUCUGCUUUGUGGUGUGAGACAACACAGGUGAUGCCAAGAAGCACAAGCACAGCCUAGUCUUCCUGUUGACUCCCUGAGAGGUUUCAUUCGAUCUCGGAUGUCCACCUUAGAGCACUGGCUUCAAGUUCCUCAAGGGUUUCUUCACUAGGCUCACCUGACCCUCCAUUAACACCAAGCCUUUCCUUUUUGGUCCCCACCCUUCCCUUCUGACGGACAGUAACAGCUAAUUACUACGCUGUGGCAAGCACCGCGUGCCAUUUCUGGUGGUCACAAGCCGAUCUUGGAUGGACCUUGAAAAAAUCAUGUUGAGUGAAAUAAGUCAGAAACAGAAGGAUGAAUAUGGGAUGAUCUCACUCUCAGGCCGAAGCUGAAAAACAAGAUCAGAAAAGAAAACACAAGUAGAACCUGAAAUGGAACUGGUGUAUUGCACCAAAGUAAAAGACUCUGGGGUGGGUGGGUGGGUGGGUGGGGAGAAUACAGGUCUAUGAAAGACGAUGAAUGACAUAGUGGGGGUUGUAUUGUUAAAUGGGAAUCUGGGGAAUGUUAUGCAUGUACAAACUAUUGUAUUUACUGUUGAAUGUAAAACAUUAAUUCCCCAAUAAAGAAAUAAAUUAUAAAAAAAAUAAAUUAAAAAAAUAAAAAUAAAACAUUUUAAUUCAAAAAAAAAAAAGGGAAGAAGUCCCUUUUGAUAUUUAGUCUAGCUUCUUUCCACUUAAAUUUGCUGUAGUUGGCAGAGUGGCUUCCCUGGGUAGCAUAUGUGAUCUGCUGUGCGCAUGGCGCAGAUUUGGAGGAAAUGUGGGUGCUAUGGUGUCUCGCCCGUCCUCUGUCUUUCUC